GACAAGUUCAACACCACUUGCAUGUCUUUAUGCAUGAACCUUCAUAGGCACUUGUCAUCCAAUCCUUUCACCUCUUGGCCUAUAAAUUCAAACCUUCAACACCUCUGAUGAUCAAGCCACGCCCCAGACCUGACCUGAGCCUUAGAGCAAGAGAGAGAAGAUCUCAUUUCUCUCUUAAAGUCUCUAACUUAGCCUUUCAUUCAUCUUCCUUGUUCUUCACAAAAACCACUUCAAUCCUUCCCAAAAACCAUUCAAACAUGCUUAUGGGUGAGUGAGAGUCGAAUCUGGAAAGUUUGGAGAGAUUUUGGGCACGAAAUAAGUGAUUCUGGGCAGUUUUUCAUCUAGUUCAUCAGGCAGAUGAAUUUUCCGGCGAGUGCACCAGAAAAUCAACGACUUUAAACGCGUCUAUCUCUCUCGUCCAGCGUCCAAUCACGUAGAUUCAACCACCAUAUUUCCUAUCUAAGAGAGAAGAAUCCAUAUCUGUACCCAGUUCAUCUCUGGCGACGAGCGCCGCCGCUGGGUUCGUCUUCUCCGGCGAGAAGCUCGCCGGAGUUUUCCAGAAUUUUCCAGAAGUGUGUUUCAGAGGAAACUCAAGAGAAUUAACGGAUGCAAUAAUCACCAAGAACUAAGCAACAGAUGAUGAAGCAGUGGAGAUGGAGCACUAAAGUUCGCAGUAGGAAGAUAGACAAGUUGAGUAGCUAUUAGCAGAAGCAGCUUAUGUGAAAUAUAUCUAGAGAUGUGUAGUACUUAUAGCUGGUUGCUAGUGGCCUGUAAUUUAAAUAAAGGGAUAGAACCCUUUAUCAGCUCGUUGUGGUCGACUUGUGGGAUCUGGUUUAUUCUCUUUUCUUUUGGUGUGCUUAUGUGCGAUGUUAAGUAUGACUAAGAUGCAUGUAGUGUAUGAUACCUAAUGCUUAUGUGUAGUAGUAAUGUGAUGUUUGUGUGAAAAUACUUAGCUUGUUCUCACUAAUCGGUAGUUUAUCUUAUAAUAUGAUAAUAACUUGAUAAUAACAAUGAAAGAGAAAAGGGAAUAAUUCGGGUCGCCACAUGAGGCGCUCCAUACAACCUGUAACAAUAGGGUCUUACAUGUCCAUGCUUACCACAGUGAUGACAUCUCCAGGUUGAGCUUCUCAUUUUCUGAGUUGGAAGAUAAGAAUAAGGAAUCUGCCGAUAUCCUUGUUGGACACCAUGUUGGGACAUUCGGUUUGACAUCUUGAAUUCAGUCUUCUUCUCUGUAGGAAUGAACUUGUUACUGAUCUUUUUAUUUUCUUCCGAUGUGGGGUCUUCAGUAUAGCCUAAGCCUGUUAUAUCCUUUGCAACUUUUCCUGUUUCUAAAAUCAAAUCAAACACAUCAGUUCCUUUAUUCAACAUAUGCACGGAUUUUAUCAUACCUUCAAUCUUUGAAUUCAACACAGUGACUUCUUCUUGAAGAUUGCCAUUCAAGAUCAGCAAAUUCUGCUUCUCCAUCUCCAGAUCCUUGACAACUCUUUCCAACUUCUUUCCUUUUUCACAAGCAUCAUUCUAGUUAUUGAAUAGUAGUUUGUAAGUUUCAGCAAGUUCCACCUUAGAUAUUUCACCAUCACUUGACUCUGUUUCAGAGUUACACUUCACAGUAAGACCCAUGACUUGAGGUUCAUCUUCCUCUUCUGUAUCAUCAUCAGACCAAGUUGCCACCAUUCCUUUUCCUAGUUUCUUUAGAUAAGUUCCACAUUCUGCUUUAAUAUGCCCAUAUCCUUCGCAUUCAUGACAUUGGACUCCUUUGUUUUUGUUGGGUUUGUCUUCUUCCUUGUUUCUGCGAGCAAAACCAGAACUUUUUCCAAUCUCAGACCGCUUGUCUGGCACAUUUGGUCUAGGCCUUCUUUCAAACCUCCUCAUAACUUUGUUGAACUUUCUCCCAAGCAGAGUUAUUGCCUUAGACAGA